UACGUAGGGUGCAAGCGUUAAUCGGAAUUACUGGGCGUAAAGCGUGCGCAGGCGGCUUUGCAAGACAGAUGUGAAAUCCCCGGGCUCAACCUGGGAACUGCAUUUGUGACUGCACGGCUAGAGUGCGGCAGAGGGAGAUGGAAUUCCGCGUGUAGCAGUGAAAUGCGUAGAUAUGCGGAGGAACACCGAUGGCGAAGGCAAUCUCCUGGGCCUGCACUGACGCUCAUGCACGAAAGCGUGGGGAGCAAACAGG
rnacentral:rRNA from 1 species